rnacentral:rRNA from 1 species
CCUACGGGAGGCUGCAGUGGGGAAUAUUGCACAAUGGGCGCAAGCCUGAUGCAGCCAUGCCGCGUGUGUGAAGAAGGCCUUCGGGUUGUAAAGCACUUUCAGCGGGGAGGAAGGCGGUGAGGUUAAUAACCUCAUCGAUUGACGUUACCCGCAGAAGAAGCACCGGCUAACUCCGUGCCAGCAGCCGCGGUAAUACGGAGGGUGCAAGCGUUAAUCGGAAUUACUGGGCGGAAAGCGCACGCAGGCGGUCUGUCAAGUCGGAUGUGAAAUCCCCGGGCUCAACCUGGGAACUGCAUUCGAAACUGGCAGGCUAGAGUCUUGUAGAGGGGGGUAGAAUUCCAGGUGUAGCGGUGAAAUGCGUAGAGAUCUGGAGGAAUACCGGUGGCGAAGGCGGCCCCCUGGACAAAGACUGACGCUCAGGUGCGAAAGCGUGGGGAGCAAACAGGAUUAGAUACCCCAGUAGUC